rnacentral:rRNA from 1 species
GACGAACGCUGGCGGCGUGCUUAACACAUGCAAGUCGAACGAUGAUCAGGAGCUUGCUCCUGUGAUUAGUGGCGAACGGGUGAGUAACACGUGAGUAACCUGCCCCUGACUCUGGGAUAAGCGUUGGAAACGACGUCUAAUACUGGAUACGACUGCCGGCCGCAUGGUCUGGUGGUGGAAAGAUUUUUUGGUUGGGGAUGGACUCGCGGCCUAUCAGCGUGUUGGUGAGGUAAUGGCUCACCAAGGCGACGACGGGUAGCCGGCCUGAGAGGGCGACCGGCCACACUGGUACUGAGACACGGCCCAGACUCCUACGGGAGGCAGCAGUGGGGAAUAUUGCGCAAUGGGCGGAAGCCUGACGCAGCGACGCCGCGUGGGGGAUGAAGGCCUUCGGAUUGUAAACCUCUUUCCGCAGGGAAGAAGCGUGAGUGACGGUACCUGCAGAAGAAGCACCGGCUAACUACGUGCCAGCCGCCGCAGUAAUAC